UCCGAAUUGGUGUAGUGGCUAACAUUUGACGCUCUCAUGGAAAUAACGCCGUCUGAACCGUCAAGCCCGGGGUUCGAUUCCCCGAUUCGGAG